AUACCUUUCUCGGCCUUUUGGCUAAGAUCAAGUGUAGUAUCUGUUCUUAUCAGUUUAAUAUCUGAUAUGUGGGCCCUUGUGUCCACACGAUAUUAAAUUAAUUUUUUAUGGGGGAGAGCCCACAUGGUAGCUUGCUAUCGGGCUCUCGAGCGUCGCCUUGUCGUUGCACCGCAGACUUGGCUUGGCGCGCCCCAA